GAUGAACGCUGGCGGCGUGCCUAAUACAUGCAAGUCGAGCGAACGGACGAGAAGCUUGCUUCUCUGAUGUUAGCGGCGGACGGGUGAGUAACACGUGGAUAACCUACCUAUAAGACUGGGAUAACUUCGGGAAACCGGAGCUAAUACCGGAUAAUAUUUUGAACCGCAUGGUUCAAAAGUGAAAGACGGUCUUGCUGUCACUUAUCGAUGGAUCCGCGCUGCAUUAGCUAGUUGGUAAGGUAACGGCUUACCAAGGCAACGAUGCAUAGCCGACCUGAGAGGGUGAUCGGCCACACUGGAACUGAGACACGGUCCAGACUCCUACGGGAGGCAGCAGUAGGGAAUCUUCCGCAAUGGGCGAAAGCCUGACGGAGCAACGCCGCGUGAGUGAUGAAGGUCUUCGGAUCGUAAAACUCUGUUAUUAGGGAAGAACAUAUGUGUAAGUAACUGUGCACAUCUUGACGGUACCUAAUCAGAAAGCCACGGCUAACUACGUG
rnacentral:rRNA from 1 species